AUGCCUAGUAACUGGCGAGUGAAGCGGCAACAGCUCAAAUUUGAAAUCUGGCUCUUUCAGGGUCCGAGUUGUAAUUUGCAGAGGGCGCUUUGGCGUUGGCAGCGGUCCAAGUUCCUUUGGAACAGGACGUCACAGAGGGUGAGAAUCCCGUACGUGGUCGCUGGCCUCCGCCGUGUAAAGCCCUCUUCGACGAGUCGAGUUGUUUGGGAAUGCAGCUCUAAAUGGGAGGUAAAUUUCUUCUAAAGCUAAAUACUGGCCAGAGACCGAUAGCGCACAAGUAGAGUGAUCGAAAGAUGAAAAGCACUUUGGAAAGAGAGUCAAAUAGCACGUGAAAUUGUUGAAAGGGAAGCGCUUGCAGCCAGACUUGCCUGUAGUUGCUCACCCGGGCUCCUGCCCGGUGCACUCUUCUAUAGGCAGGCCAGCAUCAGUUUGGGCGGUUGGAUAAAGGUCUCUGUCAUGUACCUCUCUUCGGGGAGGCCUUAUAGGGGAGACGACAUGCAACCAGCCUGGACUGAGGUCCGCGCAUUUGCUAGGAUGCUGGCGUAAUGGCUGUAAGCGGCCCGUCUUGAAACACGGACCAAGGAGUCUAACAUCUAUGCGAGUGUUUGGGUGUCAAGCCCGAACGCGUAAUGAAAGUGAACGGAGGUGGGAACCCUUACGGGUGCACCAUCGACCGAUCCUGAUGUCUUCGGAAGGAUUUGAGUAAGAGCAUGGCUGUUGGGACCCGAAAGAUGGUGAACUAUGCUUGAAUAGGGUGAAGCCAGAGGAAACUCUGGUGGAGGCUCGCAGCGGUUCUGACGUGCAAAUCGAUCGUCAAAUUGGGGCAUAGGGGCGAAAGACUAAUCGAACUAUCUAGUAGCUGGU
rnacentral:rRNA from 1 species